AUUGAACGCUGGCGGCAUGCCUUACACAUGCAAGUCGAACGGCAGCGCGGGGCAACCUGGCGGCGAGUGGCGAACGGGUGAGUAAUAUAUCGGAACAUACCCUAGAGUGGGGAUAACGUAGCGAAAGUUACGCUAAUACCGCAUACGCACUAAGGUGGAAAGUGGGGGAUCUUCGGACCUCAUGCUCAUGGAGUGGCCGAUAUCUGAUUAGCUAGUUGGUGAGGUAAAGGCUCACCAAGGCGACGAUCAGUAGCUGGUUUUGAGAGAACGACCAGCCACACUGGAACUGAGACACGGUCCAGACUCCUACGGAGGCAGCAGUGGGGAAUUUUGGACAAUGGGGGCAACCCUGAUCCAGCAAUGCCGCGUGCGGGAAGAA
rnacentral:rRNA from 1 species